GCAAACUUGGUCAUUUAGAGGAAGUAAAAGCCAAAACAAGGUUACGUAGGCGAACUUGUGAAAGGGUUUCAAAUUGGCUGCAGUCCUCCGUCUCGCAGGGAUCCAGGACAAUUCAUCAAUCAUCGUGUGCACUCAUUGAACUAAAUAUUUUUUUUCAUAGUUCUAAAAAUCUUCCAAAGUCUUCACUAUUUGUCCGAUUAGAAAAUUUAAUGCAAUUCUUCAACGGGUCUCUUGGCUCUCGCAUCGAUGAAGAACGCAGC
rnacentral:misc_RNA from 1 species